GGCUUAAAGUUUGAUCAUGGCUCAGGACGAACGCUGGCGGCGUGCUUAACACAUGCAAGUCGAACGGGGUGUUUAUUUCGGUAAACACCAAGUGGCGAACGGGUGAGUAACGCGUAAGCAAUCUACCUUCAAGAUGGGGACAACACUUCGGAAGGGGUGCUAAUACCGAAUGAAUGAGAGAUGACCGCAUGGAUAUUUCUCUAAAGGAGGCCUCUGAAAAUGCUUCCGCUUGAAGAUGAGCUUGCGUCUGAUUAGCUAGUUGGUGAGGGUAAAGGCCCACCAAGGCGACGAUCAGUAGCCGGUCUGAGAGGAUGAACGGCCACAUUGGGACUGACACACGGCCCAGACUCCUACGGGAGGCAGCAGUGGGGAGUCUUCCGCAAUGGGCGAAAGCCUGACGGAGCAACGCCGCGUGAAUGAAGAAGGUCUUAGGAUCGUAAAGUUCUGUUGUUAGGGGCGAAGGGCAACAUUUUGAAUAAGGGUGUUGUUUGACGGUACUUAACGAGGAAGCCACGGCUAACUACGUGCCAUCAGCCGCGGUAAUACGUACGCGGCAAGCGAUGUCCGGCAUUAUUGGGUCGUAAAGGGUGCGCAUGCGGGAGGUUAAGCGGACUUUAAAGUGCGGGGCUCAACCCCGUGAGGGGGUCCGAACUGACUUUCUU
rnacentral:rRNA from 1 species